rnacentral:lncRNA from 1 species
CUAUGAUUCACAGUUCCAUCAGACUUAGGGGUGUGCUGAGGACGGGCACGGGGGCCAUACAGCAAUAACAGAUAUCAUAUAUGAUUAUUCCAUCCAAAUUCAAUCAUCGCCCUGCACAUGUUCUAAUAUCGAGAAUUCGAGUUACCCAAAUGCAGAAUCGCGUCCACCUACAAGAAAUCAAGAUUAUCCGAUGGGACAGAACGAUUGGAUCGCAUUGGAACGAUAUGGAGGGGAGUGGGCUGAAAUCUGGUUCGUGCAUGAGUCCAUGCAAAUGAGUCUCGGAGACAGGACGGACAGAAAUACGUACAGCGAGGAGCGUCAGAACUGAACCAGUUCCAAAAUGUGAG